CUAUUAUUCCAUUAGUUUAGAUUCAACACAUUUCUCUCCUGCUCUGAAUAAUAGAGCCUCCUCAGUCAGGAUCCUAACCACAGGUUGCUAGGGUGGUUACUAGGAGGAGCUUCCUCAGUCAGGAUCCUAACCACAGGUUGCUAGGGUGGUUACUAGGAGGAGCCUCCUCAGUCAGGAUCCUAACCACAGGUUGCUAGGGUGGUUACUAGGAGGAGCCUCCUCAGUCAGGAUCCUAACCACAGGUUGCUAGGGUGGUUACUAGGAGGAGCCUCCUCAGUCAGGAUCCUAACCACAGGUUGCUAGGGUGGUUACUAGGAGGAGCCUCCUCAGUCAGGAUCCUAACCACAGGUUGCUAGGGUGGUUACUAGGAGGAGCCUCCUCAGUCAGGAUCCUAACCACAGGUUGCUAGGGUGGUUACUAGGAGGAGCCUCCUCAGUCAGGAUCCUAACCACAGGUUGCUAGGGUGGUUACUAGGAGGAGCCUCCUCAGUCAGGAUCCUAACCACAGGUUGCUAGGGUGGUUACUAGGAGGAUCCUCCUCAGUCAGGAUCCUAACCACAGGUUGCUAGGUGGUAACUAGGAGGAGCCUCUUCAGCGAGGAGAUCUGGACUGAUGCUGUCUGAUCAGUGCUAUCUAACACCCAUACUAGGACUGAAUACCAUUAUCAGCACCCUGGUUUGAUAUCUAGCCCUGCUGACUGACAUGGAGGAUUAAAACCCGGCUAGCUAGUAGCUACGUUAUCCAGGUAGGUUGUUGUGUGUACUGGUACCGGCUGAAAAGCACCACUAUUGUGUGGUAUCAAAGUUGUCGAGCCGAAACCCAAGUUUAAUCCCUUUCACGGUGUCCUCUUUGUGAAAAAUGAACCUUUUGACAAUCAAUGCAAAUUGAUUUCUCCAUUCAAUGUUGACCUGCCUGCACCUCUGCAUCGGCCAUGGUAAUUUCUUUCCCCACCUGAUAAGCAACCUGAUCCAUAUUAAAUCAAUUGUAAUUAGCUGGUGGAAGGGACU